GAUGAACGCUGGCUUUGUGCCUAAUACGUGCAAGUCGAGCGAACGGACGAGAAGCUUGCUUCUCUGAUGUUAGCGGCGGACGGGUGAGUAACACGUGGAUAACCUACCUAUAAGACUGGGAUAACUUCGGGAAACCGGAGCUAAUACCGGAUAAUAUUUUGAACCGCAUGGUUCAAAAGUGAAAGACGGUCUUGCUGUCACUUAUAGAUGGAUCCGCGCUGCAUUAGCUAGUUGGUAAGGUAACGGCUUACCAAGGCAACGAUGCAUAGCCGACCUGAGAGGGUGAUCGGCCACACUGGAACUGAGACACGGUCCAGACUCCUACGGGAGGCAGCAGUAGGGAAUCUUCCGCAAUGGGCGAAAGCCUGACGGAGCAACGCCGCGUGAGUGAUGAAGGUCUUCGGAUCGUAAAACUCUGUUAUUAGGGAAGAACAUAUGUGUAAGUAACUGUGCACAUCUUGACGGUACCUAAUCAGAAAGCCACGGCUAACUACGUGCCAGCAGCCGCGGUAAUACGUAGGUGGCAAGCGUUAUCCGGAAUUAUUGGGCGUAAAGCGCGCGUAGGCGGUUUUUUAAGUCUGAUGUGAAAGCCCACGGCUCAACCGUGGAGGGUCAUUGGAAACUGGAAAACUUGAGUGCAGAAGAGGAAAGUGGAAUUCCAUGUGUAGCGGUGAAAUGCGCAGAGAUAUGGAGGAACACCAGUGGCGAAGGCGACUUUCUGGUCUGUAACUGACGCUGAUGUGCGAAAGCGUGGGGAUCAAACAGGAUUAGAUACCCUGGUAGUCCACGCCGUAAACGAUGAGUGCUAAGUGUUAGGGGGUUUCCGCCCCUUAGUGCUGCAGCUAACGCAUUAAGCACUCCGCCUGGGGAGUACGACCGCAAGGUUGAAACUCAAAGGAAUUGACGGGGACCCGCACAAGCGGUGGAGCAUGUGGUUUAAUUCGAAGCAACGCGAAGAACCUUACCAAAUCUUGACAUCCUUUGACAACUCUAGAGAUAGAGCCUUCCCCUUCGGGGGACAAAGUGACAGGUGGUGCAUGGUUGUCGUCAGCUCGUGUCGUGAGAUGUUGGGUUAAGUCCCGCAACGAGCGCAACCCUUAAGCUUAGUUGCCAUCAUUAAGUUGGGCACUCUAAGUUGACUGCCGGUGACAAACCGGAGGAAGGUGGGGAUGACGUCAAAUCAUCAUGCCCCUUAUGAUUUGGGCUACACACGUGCUACAAUGGACAAUACAAAGGGCAGCGAAACCGCGAGGUCAAGCAAAUCCCAUAAAGUUGUUCUCAGUUCGGAUUGUAGUCUGCAACUCGACUACAUGAAGCUGGAAUCGCUAGUAAUCGUAGAUCAGCAUGCUACGGUGAAUACGUUCCCGGGCCU
rnacentral:rRNA from 1 species